GGAGAUGGAAUCAAAAGGAAGGAGUGAGAUCACACUUCUAUACACAGAGUCUUAGAUCUGCCCCGGUUACACGUAGCUAAUCUAGAGCAUAAAACCUGGGCAGUUCCUAGAGUUAAACUCCCAGGUUCCUGUAUGGAGGCCAUGAACAUCUUUAUACCAAUUCUGACAUUCAUUUCCAUCCAUGCUGAGCUUAAUGCUAAUAUUUUAAAUGCAAAUAAGGCUUCUGGAGCCAAAUAAUUUGCUAAACUUUGGAAGUCAAUUGUAGUAUGUUAUAGAAUAGCAUUAGAAUUCUGCUGCUAAGAGGCAAAACUUCCUUGAAAUGACAGGGAAGCAUUAUUCCCAUCUAACAGGGAGAACAAGAGAAAAGACACUCCAUAAAGUUCAUUCCAGGGUGGUAUUACAUGUUACCUUUAAACCAGUGGUCACCAACCAGUGGAUCGUGAUCUACCAGUAGAUCUCAGAACCUCUUGUGGUAGAUCUUGGAGCCUCCUGAAGUCAAUCCAAGGCUGGUGUGGGGGGCUGAGUGCCUGUGUGCAUGCAAGCGUGUGCCCCAGCCAAGCAGAUUAGUUCUGUGGGGGGAAAAGAGGGG